rnacentral:lncRNA from 1 species
AAAGCUUUAUUUUUUUCUGCACCAGGUCCAAUGUGGAAUAAGAAAAGCUAGGUAAUACCUAAAAUGCAGUAUGUUCAACAUACAAAAUUUUCUGUAAGCAAGGAAUAAGCUUCUGAGGGUAAGCUGAAGCCUCUGCUCAACUUAGGCAUGCUAUACAAUUUCAGCUGAGACAGACAGCUGUUGUAGUGAAGUUAUGAGUAAGAAAAAGAAUUCAAAUCACUAGUCUGCGAUGAACCUCAGAAACAAGCAAACGGGCACUAGACACUGUAAAUUCUGCAUUAGCAGCAGUGUUUAAAAUUCCUGCUUCCUAUUUAACUCUCACCCCUCUUUACAGUUCUGCAUAGUUAAUGUUAACUUUGAAAGUGUAUUAACAUAUUAUGAAAGAAAGGCAUAUGUUAUUGCCAGCAAAACCAUUCCUUUUAAAAUGAGGAAAAAAGUAUUUGCUUUGUAUAUUUUUCAAGAAGUAGGUUUUACAGGUUCACAAGAAUUGGUCUGUUGAAAACUGUAAUUACUUGUAAAUCAAAUAAUAAUCUUCAGAAAAUUCAAGUCCACCACUCAAGAGGACCUUCCUGCAGGACUGCUUGUUCAAUGAUGCUGCAAUCUUUUCUAUAGGACCCUCUCUUCCAUAUGGUUAUCUGCUUGAAGUUGAGUGUUAUCUACUGUUUUCCUACAGAAAAAAUAUAAUGAAAAAACUUUGAUGAAAGUCAGUAUACCUACUCACAGCCAAUGACUGAUAAAAGGAUGACAAACAUCAUAUAAGCACACAGGGCUUCAUUUAAAGAAGGAAAAAAAGAAAAAAUGGGGAAAGAAAAGAAGUCAUGGAUCUUUUUAUAGCACAGGAAAAAACAUAAGGAGAAGCAAGUUGGUCUGUCUAGACGUAACCAUAGGGAACACUAAAGCCUUACCUCUCCUUCAGGAAGGAGAAAGAGAGGGUGUGUAUGUGUGCAGAAUUAUAAGAGUUACUGUCAGCCAGGAAAUGUUAAAAGCAAAUUGCAUCUAGAAAGGACAAGCAAAGGAGCAGGUAUACUGAGAUGCUUAUUUAUAGCUGUCCUUUAAAGAAAGCUCUUGCUCACACUGUCUGUGCCCCCAUCUCCCCUCACUGAAAUCCUCCUCCUUCUUUCAUUCCAACAAAUGGAGUUUCUGGGCUUAUACUGCAAAACAGCAGCUGUGCAGCUCCUCCCUUCAUCCAGAGAUUUUCAACAUAAUGGCUGCCUGUGGCACUACCAUUUCUGAUUGACAACAGAUGCUUGCUACAGCUUCUACUUUUUCUUCACACUAAUUAAC